GCGGGGGUAGCCAAGCGGCUAAGGCAACCGCCUGCAGAGCGGUCAUUCGAGGGUUCAAGUCCCUCCCCUCGCU
rnacentral:tRNA from 1 species